rnacentral:rRNA from 1 species
GCCCUAGAUGAUAUCUAAGGUGUAACCUGCCCAAUGGUUUUACAUUAAAAAGAUAUAAAAAAAUCUUUAAUAAAACUAAAAGGACGCAGUAACCUUGACUGUGAUAAUGUAGCGUAAUCAUUCGCCAUUUAAUUGAUGGAUAGUAUGAAUGGUUGAACGAAUAUUCCACUGUCUUAAAAAGAAAUACUAGAGAAAUUUAAAUAAUAGUAAAGAUGCUAUUUAAAACUGUAAGACGAAAAGACCCUAUAGAGCUUAACUAUAUUCUCUUUCAUUAAAAGUAAAAACAAUUGCGUGAUUAAAGAGGAUGGUAGUUUAGUUGGGGCGACUAUCUUUUAAAAAUAACGAAGAUAAGCAAAGUAAAUAUAUUACUACUUAUUGUAUGAAAAAGGUUUCUAACAAUUACGAUAGUAGGCUAUAAUGACCCGUUGAUUGUUUGUAAAAAUAUUAACGAUUAAUCAAUAAAAGCUACCUUAGGGAUAACAGGAUUAUUUCAUUUUCGAGAUCAUAUCUAAAAUGAAGUUUGUCACCUCUAUGUUGAAUUGAGAUAUCCUGAUAAUGUAGCAGUUAUCAAAGGUGGGUCUGUUCGACCCUUAAAAUCUU